rnacentral:rRNA from 1 species
GAUGAACGCUGGCGGCGUGCCUAAUACAUGCAAGUCGAGCGAACGGACGAGAAGCUUGCUUCUCUGAUGUUAGCGGCGGACGGGCGAGUAACACGUGGAUACCCUACCUAUAAGACUGGGAUCACUUCGGGAAACUGUAGCUAAUACCGGACAAUAUUUUGAACCGCAUGGUUCAAAAGUGAAAGACGGCCUUGCUGUCACUUAUAGAUGGAUCCCCGCUGCAUUAGGUCGUUGGUCAGGUCACGCCUUAACAAGGCAACGAUGCAUAGCCGACCUGAAGGGGUGAUCGGCCAGACUGGAACUGAGACACGGUCCAGACUCCUACGGGAGGCAGCAGUAGGGAAUCUUCCGCAAUGGGCGAAAGCCUGACGGAGCAACGCCGCGUGAGUGAUGAAGGUCUUCGGAUCGUAAAGCUCUGUUAUUAGGGGAGAACAUAUGUGUAAGUAACUGUGCACAUCUUGACGGUACCUAAUCAGAAAGCCACGGCUAACUACGUG